AGAGUUUGAUCCUGGCUCAUGGACGAACGCUGGCGGCGUGCCUAACACAUGCAAGUCGAGCGAGGACAGUCCUUCGGGGCUGAGCCGAGCGGCGGACGGGUGCGUAACACGUGAGCAACCUGUCUCCGUGCGGGGGAUAACCCGGGGAAACUCGGGCUAAUACCGCAUGGUCGGACCUCUCGCCUGGGGGGUUCGGGAAAGAUGGCCUCUUAACAAUGCUAUCGUGCGGAGAGGGGCUCGCGGGCUAUCAGCUGGUUGGUGAGGUAAUGGCUCACCAAGGCGACGACGGCUAGGGGGUCUGAGAGGACGACCCCCCACAUUGGAACUGAGACACGGUCCAGACUCCUACGGGAGGCAGCAGUGGGGAAUUUUGGGCAAUGGCCGAAAGGCUGACCCAGCGACGCCGCGUGCGGGAGGACGCCCUUCGGGGUGUAAACCGCUGUCAGAGGGGACGAAAGGCCGGGGUGGGAAUACUGCCCUGGAGUGACGGUACCCUCAGAGGAAGCACCGGCUAACUCUGUGCCAGCAGCCGCGGUAAUAC
rnacentral:rRNA from 1 species